GAGUUUGAUCCUGGCUCAGAACGAACGCUGGCGGCGUGCCUAACACAUGCAAGUCGAACGUGAUCCAGAGCUUGCUCUGGUGAAAGUGGCGCACGGGUGAGUAACGCGUGGAUAACCUACCCUGGUAUCCGGGAUAACAUUCCGAAAGGGGUGCUAAUACCGGAUAAGCCCACGGGCUCUUUGGAGCUUGCGGGAAAAGGUGGCCUCUAUUUAUAAGCUACUGUAUCAGGAUGGGUCCGCGUACCAUUAGCUAGUUGGCGGUGUAACGGACCACCAAGGCGACGAUGGUUAGCUGGUCUGAGAGGAUGAUCAGCCACACUGGAACUGAGACACGGUCCAGACUCCUACGGGAGGCAGCAGUGGGGAAUUUUGCGCAAUGGGGGAAACCCUGACGCAGCAACGCCUCGUGAGUGAUGAAGGCCUUUGGGUCGUAAAGCCCUGUCAGAGGGGAAGAAAUGAUAUAGUGCUAAUACCACUUUAUCUUGACGGUACCCUCAAAGGAAGCACCGGCUAACUCCGUGCCAGCAGCCGCGGUAAUAC
rnacentral:rRNA from 1 species